GACGAACGCUGGCGGCGUGCUUAACACAUGCAAGUCGAACGGAAAGGCCUCUUUCGGGGGGUACUCGAGUGGCGAACGGGUGAGUAACACGUGAGUAACCUGCCCUUGACUUUGGGAUAACUUCAGGAAACUGGGGCUAAUACCGGAUAGGAGCUCCUGCUGCAUGGUGGGGGUUGGAAAGUUUCGGCAGUUGGGGAUGGACUCGCGGCUUAUCAGCUUGUUGGUGGGGUAGUGGCUUACCAAGGCUUUGACGGGUAGCCGGCCUGAGAGGGUGACCGGCCACAUUGGGACUGAGAUACGGCCCAGACUCCUACGGGAGGCAGCAGUGGGGAAUAUUGCACAAUGGGUGGAAGCCUGAUGCAGCAACGCCGUGUGCGGGAUGACGGCCUUCGGGUUGUAAACCGCUUUCGCUCAUGACGAAGCUUUGUGUGACGGUAGUGGGUAAAGAAGCACCGGCUAACUACGUG
rnacentral:rRNA from 1 species